rnacentral:rRNA from 1 species
UACGUAGGGGGCAAGCGUUAUCCGGAUUUAUUGGGCGUAAAGAGCGUGUAGGCGGCCAGACAGGUCCGUUGUGAAAACUCGAGGCUCAACCUCGAGACGCCGAUGGAAACCGUCUGGCUAGAGUCCGGAAGAGGAGAGUGGAAUUCCUGGUGUAGCGGUGAAAUGCGCAGAUAUCAGGAAGAACACCCGUGGCUAAGGCGGCUCUCUAGUACGGUACUGACGCUGAGACGCGAAAGCGUGGGGAGCGAACAGG